GGGAGGUAGUGACAAUAAAUAACAAUACGGGGUUCUUUCGGAUCUCGUAAUUGGAAUGAGUACAAUUUAAAUCUCUUAACGAGGAACAAUUGGAGGGCAAGUCUGGUGCCAGCAGCCGCGGUAAUUCCAGCUCCAAUAGCGUAUAUUAAAGUUGCUGCAGUUAAAAAGCUCGUAGUUGAAUUUCGGGACCACUAUGUCGGUCGUGCUUCGGUACGUACUGUCAUUAUUGGUUUCUCCCUUCUGAAGAACCUUGAUGUCAUUAAUUUGGUGUCUUGGGGAAUCAGGACUGUUACUUUGAAAAAAUUAGAGUGUUUAAAGCAGGCUCGCGCUUGAAUACAUUAGCAUGGAAUAAUGAAAUAGGACGUUUGAUUCUAUUUUGUUGGUUUCUAGGAUCGACGUAAUGAUUAAUAGGGAUAGUUGGG
rnacentral:rRNA from 1 species